ACAAGAAAGCUGAUCAAGGUGUUUCACACAAGUAAGGUGCAACCUUACCAAUCCCUAGAGCAAGUACACAGGCGCCAGUGGUAAGGAAAGACUUCCUCUGAGGAUACUGAGGAAAAAACUUCAAGCAGACCAGACUCAAAGGGGUGACCCACUGCUUAGGUCAUUUUAACAGUUACAAGCUGAAAAAACAGGAA